AUCAACUCAAGGAGUGAGCAUUCAAAUUACAGGGAACACUUUAAACCUCCAUUAGUUGCCUAGAGACGUUUCCAUUUAUCCCGUAUUGAGAUAGAAGAUGGGUUAGGAAAGUUACACCACUAUGUCCCAUCUCGACUUUAAAAACGCCACGGACAAAACUGAAAAUAAUUUGGAUCGACACUAACAUCGCUACAUUAAAUCUAAUAUAUUUGUGGCUCCUUAUUCCUAUCAGACAAAAUAUCAGUCCACUAAUAUUAGCAAAUUGCGGGAAUACUAUCCUAAAUGUUUUUUGUUCAUCAGUGGGCAUU